UCGUGAAAGAAAACUCCUCUUGACUUCUGCGCAAAUGCGUGGUCAUGAUGCGCCAACAAAAAAUUGACGAAAGAACGCACCAUGUAACUGUGGACGAAAAAACCAGCCUAUGUACACAAAUUCGAUGAUGGGAUCAAUGCCCAAUGGGUGGAGGCUGGUAUAGCUGGUGAUAGCUGGUAUAGUCUGGUACCAUGGAGUGGAGAUUGUAUCAGUGGAGACUGGAGCACAUGGAGCAUUCAGGAGCAUUGAACAGUGAACUCGGAAACCAGUCCCUAUUGUAGUCGAGUGUGCAAAGCGUGGACCUGGACUCAGAUAAAUCUCAUACCAUCCAAGAAGACUAGAGACCUAGUCUUCUUGAUACCAUCAGAAAACUUGAGCAAUUAAAGUAAGCCAUGAAUCGAGGCUUCUUGUUCUUGUCGGAUUUGAACCAACGACAUAAGCCAAAUCACACUAGGUCUACGUGUCUGAGUCUCUCUGUCGGAAACCACCGCUUAAAGUUUCAAUGGUUAGAAUUUUGGCAAAUAACCCUCAGUAUACGAACUAAAUAGUGGUUUAUUUUGCACUACAAAAUUUUGUAACGUCUAUAACUGUGAACGAAAAAACCAGUCCAAAAAUUCGAUGCAAUUCGAUGGUGGGAUAUUGAACGCGAAGUUUUUUAGAUUUUUUAGAUAGUACAAAGUACUGCUCUAAUUGAUCUCUAAUUUCGUCAUUCGUAAUAUUUACUACAACUGCCAAUAAAAUGCAGAUAAUUAAUAAAAACUCGACUGGAACAAGUAUCACAGUAGAGGGUUUACAUCAAAUUCAUAAUGUUAAAGAAACUAAUAUGAAAGAAGAAGAAGAAAUACAUAUUAUUUUUGCAAGUUAACAAUUUUAAAUAUGAACGAACUAUAUCUGAAAAUAUUAAGAAAAAAACACGAGGUCAAGAAAUGUAAACUCACCUUUAUCCCAUGUCUGUUGGGAAAAUGUGGUGGAGAAAUUCUUACUCAUCUACACACAAAAAUCAAACACACAAAAAUCCAACAGCAUAGAUAUUGUGUAUUGGGUAUAUAACCUUAACAAUGAUGUAUACAACAAUGAAAGCCAACAACUUUAUGAUGAUGAAAAGAAUUAAUUUGGGAGGGUUGGUGUAUUUCCCUGUGAACGUUCCAGCUGCAAUGACAGUUCAUCAUCAAAAAUUGAUGAAAGAGGAAGGGUCAAACAAGUCUAACCUUGUCAAAAAGUACACCACAUCUCGUCAACUUUCAACGCACCCUGGACCAGCUGAAUUUGGGCCAGAAAAUGGACAACAAUUUGUUCUUCAAUUGAUCCAUCCACCACGCUACAAGGCACGUGGAGUAAGGCGGGUUCCAAAACCACAAG